rnacentral:rRNA from 1 species
GACGAACGCUGGCGGCGUGCUUAACACAUGCAAGUCGAACGGGAUUUAGUAAACGGAAGCUUCGGUGGAAGAUUACUAAUGAGAGUGGCGAACGGGUGAGUAACGCGUGAGCAACCUGCCUAUGACAGUGGGAUAGCCUCGGGAAACCGGGAUUAAUACCGCAUAAAAUCGUAGGAACACAUGUUUUAACGGUCAAAGAUUUAUCGGUCAUAGAUGGGCUCGCGUCUGAUUAGCUAGUUGGUGAGAUAACAGCCCACCAAGGCGACGAUCAGUAGCCGGUCUGAGAGGAUGAACGGCCACAUUGGAACUGAGACACGGUCCAAACUCCUACGGGAGGCAGCAGUGGGGAAUAUUGCACAAUGGGGGAAACCCUGAUGCAGCGACGCCGCGUGAACGAAGAAGGUAUUCGUAUCGUAAAGUUCUGUCCUAUGGGAAGAUAAUGACAGUACCAUAGAAGAAAGCUCCGGCUAAAUACGUGCCAGCAGCCGCGGUAAUACGUAUGGAGCGAGCGUUGUCCGGAAUUAUUGGGCGUAAAGGGUACGCAGGCGGUUUAAUAAGUCGAAUGUUAAAGAUCGGGGCUCAACCCCGUAAAGCAUUGGAAACUGAUAAACUUGAGUAGUGGAGAGGAAAGUGGAAUUCCUAGUGUAGUGGUGAAAUACGUAGAUAUUAGGAGGAAUACCAGUAGCGAAGGCGACUUUCUGGACACAAACUGACGCUGAGGUACGAAAGCGUGGGGAGCAAACAGG